rnacentral:misc_RNA from 1 species
AAUUAAGAAGUGUAUAUAAAGCAAAGCUUCAAUGCAUGCACCCUUCUGGUUAAACAUUCUAUGGUGUAUGUCUUUUAAAUGGUGAAUUUGAUUUUGCUCCAUAGAUUACACCGUGUCUUAGGUAAUUUACCAUCCUCUUGAAUAAGUGUGUGGUCGCAGGGUAGGUUAUCAGUAGCAAAUCUUGUUUUGUAUUUCAUAAUUUCUUCAGGAUUGAUUAUUUUCCAGUCAUCAUAUGCACAAUGCUUUUAAAGGAGUUGGGAACGACGUAAAGGAGUUGGCUUACUAUACAAUUGCCUUUAUGCAGACAACAGAA